GUCCGGGGACGACCCCGAGACCUCCAAACAACUGCGGGACGGCCCGC
rnacentral:ncRNA from 1 species